UCGAUUUUAUUUCAAAUCAAUCACACGGAAGAAAGAUAAGAAAAAGAAUUCGAAAAAUACAAUUGUGUUUUACCAUAAAUUUAAUUACUUAUUUUAAAUUAUUAUUUUUUGUUUAUAUAAUUAAUUAUUCAAUUAAUUAUGUUUUGAGAUUAUUUUUACGGUCAGUUAAGAACAAUGUUUUAUUUAAAAAAAUUUAUAAUAUUAAAGUAAAACAAUAGAGAAGAGUAACAAAACAAAAUCUACUAACAGAAAAAAAAAAAAAUAAGUAAAUUCUCUCUGUAUACUUAUUAAAAUUUUUUAUUAUACUUGUAUAAUAUAGUGAAUGAAUAAUAAGAACGACAUUGAAUGGAAAGUUCAUAAGCUUUUCAAAUAAAUUGUACAUUUAAUAUAAAUAAUAUGAUGAACUAAAGUUUGGCAAAAGAAAAAAGAAAGAAAAAAAAAAAAAGAAAUAAUUUUGAAAAGCAAUAAUGGAAAAUGCAACAAAUUCUAUAGAAAUGCAAAUUGAUAAUUUUUUGGAACAUUUCAAAAUAAGUUCACAAUCAUCAUCAGAUUGGGGUGAUACACCAGGAAGUAAUUUUAGUAAUUUAAUAAAAUCAAGAAGUCGUUCUAGUUGUUUGGAUGUGGCAGAUUUAUCCGACAAUGAUUUAGAACGUGUUUUAACCACAAAUAAUGAAUCUCAAAAUUCACAACAACAACAGUAUUCAUUUAAUCAACAACCAAAUUUCUUUAAUGGAUCAUCGAUUUUAAAAUCAGUAUUACAAUCAAAUGUUACAAAUUCAUCAUGUGUUCAAAACUCUAACAAUCAAUAUCCAUCUUCCACCGAUAAUUCUGCCAAAAUAAAUUAUGUAAAUGAUGCAUUACAUAUAGGAGAUGUAGCCGAUUUAUUACAUUUUCAACAUGCAAUAUUGACUGGUGGUAAAUCUAGAGAUGGAUGCCCUUUAAUAAUUUUUCCUGAUAAUAAUAAUUUCCAGUAUCUUGAAGAUAUUGAAUACCAAAAAUUAUUAACGUAUCUAACAUCAGUACCAGCGAUGCAGGAUGCUGAUUUAGGUUUUCAAAUUGUUGUCGAUAGACGAAAGGAUAAAUGGACUGCUGUUAAAGCUGUUUUACUUAAAAUAUCUAUGUUUUUUCCUGAUAUAGUUCAUGUAGUUUAUGUUUUAAGGCCAUCUGGAUUCCUUCAAAAAGCCAUAUCGGAAGUCAGUUCAAAAUUUUUUAAAGAAGAUUUUCGAUUUCGACUAGUCAUUUGUUCAACACUAGAAGAUCUUCAUGAGCAUUUAGAAAAAUCUCAAUUAACACCUGAUAUGGGUGGUACAUUGAUUUAUUCUCAUCAUGAAUGGAUUCAGCAACGAAUUUCAUUAGAACAAUUUUCAAGAUUAACACAAAAAGUUUCAGCAGAUUUAGAUGUCUUCAUACAAUAUAUACAUGAAACAGAGUUUCCAAAUUCUGUGGAUGCUACUCAGAAAUUAAUUGACGAUCAAUGUGAACAAUAUAAUAGUUUAAAGGAAGAAAUAGCUGCAGCUGCAAAACAUGGUGAAGGUUUAUUAAUUAAUAUGAAAAUUCAUGAAGAUAUUAAAGAAUUUUCAGAACGUACAGGAAAUGUUAGCGCUUUGGAACGUGCAGGGAAAUUUAAUCAUAUGCAACAUCAUGAUGACUGUCGUGAUUAUCGCAGACUACUUGUACAACUAGAGGAAACUGAAAGAAGAUUUGAUGAAUUCUUUGCAACACAUCAGAAUCGUUUGAAAUUAUGUUUGGACUUAAGAAAAUUUGAACAAAAUUUUAGGGAAUUACAAAUAUGUCUGGAUGCUCAUGUUAAAACUGUUUCUGAAAUGACAGAAAUUGGUGAUUCAGUUGCACGUGUUGAAAUUUUAAUGAAUGAAACCAAAGAAUUUGAAAAUAUAUGUAAAGAUGAUAUUGAUAGAGCAACUGAAGUUAUUGAAUCUGGUCAACAAUUAAUUGGAAUACAAGGUGCAUACCAAAAAGAUGUUGUACAACCAAAAUGCGAUGAAUUAUAUAGAAUGUGUGAUAUAAUUAAUGAUCGUUUAGCGAAAAGAAUUGAAACAUUAUCUAAGAACGGAGAAUUAAUGGAAAGAGUUGAAAAGGCAAAUAAAUGGUGCCAAAGAGGUGUUGAAUUAAUUGCUUCACAACAUAUGGAAAAAUGUUCUUUAUCAGCUGAUUUAGCAGAACAAUAUUUACAAGAAAUUCAAACAUUUGUUUCGUCAUCUGAUGAAUUUCAAUUAUCGAGUCCAAAAGAAUUUAAAAAUGUUUUUGUUGAAAGUACAACACAAGAAACCAAAGCAUUAGUUACGCAAGUUUUAGAAAGAUUAAAUGAUGUAUCGUUAAUGUGCGAUAAAAGAAUUGUUAGUUUAAAAAAAUUAGCUUUAAAACCACCAAGACCUGUUCAAACAGUAACACCAGAACCAGCAGUACCAUUACAACCACCUGGACUUCCACCACAUUUUCGACGUAGAAGUCAUCCUAAGACUAAUCUUCAUGAUUUACGUCCAAGAUCAACUGAAGGUGGUAUAGAUUCAGGUGUUUCAAUGUCAAGUGAUAGUGGAUGUACUGAUAAUGAUUUUGGUGAACAAAAUAAACAAGAUCUGGAAUCAAGAAGAUUGAAAAGAGGUCAUGUGCUUCAUGAACUGUUAGAAACUGAAAGAAUUUAUGUUACCGAAAUGAAUUCUAUAUUAAAGGGCUAUCGAGAUCAAAUGGAAUCAGAAGAAAUGGUACAUUUAGUUCCACCUGGUUUACAGGGUAAAGAAGAUAUUCUAUUUGGAAAUUUACAUGAAUUGUACACAUUUCAUAGUGAAACAUUUUUAAAAGACUUAGAAAAUUGUAUUUCAACAACAGAAUUGGUGGCAUUAUGUUUUGUACAAAGGAGAGAUACAUUCUAUAGAUUAUAUUCGUUUUAUUGUCAAAAUAUACCAAGAUCAGAAAGAUUACGUGAAACAUUAGUUGAUACACAUUUAUUUUUACAUGAAUGUCAAAAAAAAUUAGGGCACAAAUUACCUUUAGGUGCUUAUUUACUUAAGCCAGUCCAAAGGAUAACAAAAUAUCAGCUAUUAUUAAAAGAUUUAUUAAGAUUUAGUGAUAGUGGUACAUGCACAAAAGAAUUACAAAAAGCUUUAGAUUGUAUGUUAAUUGUAUUAAAAUGUGUUAAUGAUUCAAUGCAUCAAAUAGCAAUAACUGGAUAUCCUCAUGAUCUAUCACAACAAGGUGAAUUAUUAUUACAGGAUUCAUUUCAAGUAUGGACUGAAAAUAAAAAAGAUCUCCGUUUAAGAUUAAAACCGCAACAAAGGCAUAUUUUCCUUUAUCAGAAAUCAAUGUUAUUUUGUAAACAAGCAGCAAAACCAACUACAACUGGUCACAAUAAAAGUACCUACCAAUAUAAAAAUGAUUUAAAGAUGUCACAAAUUGGUUUAACCGAAUCAGUACGUGGUGAUACAAAACGUUUUGAAGUAUGGUUACAAGGUAGACAAGAAGUUUAUACAUUACAAGCACCAACAAUUGAUAUUAAAAAUAAAUGGGUUACUGAAAUAAAACGUGUAUUAUUAAAUCAAUUAGAAGAAUUAAAAGGUGAAAAAAUUAAACAAUAUGGUUUAAAUCCACGUACAGUACGCCCAUCAACAAAUCCAUGGGAUACACCAAUAACUGUAUUAGCACCACCAUUACGUAGUUUAAGUUGUGAUACAUCUGGUUCAGAAUCAAAUCGUAAUUCAAAUUAUAGUGAUGAUUUACAACCAGGUAUUAGUUCAUCAUCAUCAGAACAACAAGAUCCAUCAUGUGGCUGGAGUUCAGAUUAUUCAAAUAGUGAAGAUGAAUUAUCAAAUGUUGAUGAUAAUUCAACACCUAGGAUAUUUAAUUAUAUUGCACAAUGGGCUGGUGAUUACAAUAAUUCACGUGUAACUAAACCUAGUUCUACUUUUUAUGUUUCUGUCGAAUAAGUAGAAAUAAAAAAAAAAAUUAUCAUUUAAAAGUUGUUCAAAUAAAAAUCGAAAAUGGUUUUGUUUUUUUUUUUUUUUUUCUAAUAUAAAAAAUAAUAUUUUACAAACAAUCGUACAUAAAAAAAAAAAAUCAUUUAAUUACAAUGGAAGUUUUUUACGAUUUUAAAUUUAUAAAAAAAAAAAAAAAAACAAACGCUUUUACACCAAAAUAAUUAAAUUAAAAUUUAAAAAAAGAAAAUACAAAAAAGUAGUAGAAGGUUAAAAAAAUAAACUCAUCAAAUUCUGGGGGGCAUUCUGAUUUCAUUCUUGGAUAAAAAAAAAAUUUUAUUUAUAGAAAAUUGAAAAAAUAAACUAAACAUUAUCCAAAACUUCAAUCAAACAAUUUUUUAUUCAAAUCAUUGAAUUAUUUCUUCAAUCAAAUUAAAACUUCGGAGACAUAAAAUGAAGAAAUUUCAACUGUACAAAUUAUAAAUGUUAAUUAAAUAUUAUAACUUCAUUUUUUCAAUAUCUAAUAAUAAAAAUAAUCAUCUUUAUAUACAACAACGUCAUUUAUUGGCAAAUAAAUAAAAUUUAUUGGCUUCGAAGUGGGGGGUACUAAAUAUACAGCAUUAGCUGAUUAUUGUGCUAUUGGACAUUCUGAGGUUUCAAUGAGAGAAGGUGAUUCAGUUGAACUAUUAAAAGUUGGUUGCGCUGGAUGGUGGUUUGUUAAAGUUUUAG